AGACUUUAUUUUAUUGACGGAAACAGUUUCAAAUCAGUGCAGUUUGAUGGAACUAAACUGACAGAAGUUGGGCAAAUUGCUAACUCAAUUUUGCCUCCUCUUAAACUUCAAUUAUACAAGAAUCACCUUCUUGUGGCUGACGCAGGCAUCAAUCUGGAUAUUUUGUCUCUGACAGAUUCAGAAAACACAACGUACACUCUUUUACCGCUUGUAGCAGUUACUGAUAUAAGUUUUGUUGAUAUCACCGAACAACCAGAAGAAUACGGUCCAUGCAAGGCAGAAAAUGGAGAAUGUGAGCACAUCUGUGUCCCGCUUGGUCAAAACAGAAUAUGUCAAUGUAGCUUUGGUUUUGUUCUUGAUAACAACAUGGAAACAUGUU